AAACAUUGAGAAUGAGGCAGAAAUUAAGAUGCUAUUUGUAUGAUAGGUUCAAGCUCAAGGCAGUGCAUGUAGGGAUGAACAAAAAGAGGCAAAGCAGGAUGCAAAGCAGUGCUCUGAGUUAUCACCCUGGCUACUCCUCCAAAAAGUCCGUUUCAAAGACUCAGCAGGUUGCUCAGCAGAUAGCAGCUCUGUUCACUGGGCAUGUGAACUGAAAAAGACUCCAGAAAUCAUCCUAUUUAAAUGCCUCAUUUUAUAGAGGGAACUCAGAUUUAUUUCUUGAGAAAACAAGAGAAGAUAUAAAGCACAUUUAUAAUGUAUUUAAAUGUCGCCUUAGUGGCACUUUUGGCUUCUCCCUCUUCUGCAUCAGUCCCAUCCAUUCUCACUGGUCCUGCUUCAGAUCUCACUGUCCAGUUGGUGUCCUCAUAGUUCUUUUACCAGAACUAUUGAAAUACCCUGUCAGAACUCUUUCUGUCCCCAUUCCCCUUUCACCUCCCACCUCAAACUACCUUCUGAGAAAACAGCUCUUGUGAGAGACCAAGCUCGCUUGUGACUGAGUCAACUCCCCUGCUGGGUGAUAUGGCACCCAUGCUGCUAGACUGCCCCACUCUUCUAAGGUUCAAGUGACUGUGUCUUGCUACAGCCCCAUGGGUGAAGCUAUGCUCACUUGUUCCUUUGUAAUAUAAUCCCUUGCCCUGUUUAGGGUAGAAUCUUCCAUGGAAGUGCCUUGUGUGUGUCCCCUUCUCUUACUGUGCCCUUGGGUGUGGCCUACCCAGAUGUCAGUCAACCUGCUGACAGUGUACAUCAUGAAGAUAGACUCAGCCCCUUGAAACCUGCCUCAUUUGAAUAGCUUCUCCUCAAUAAAAGGGGUCAGCGCGUUCUCUCUCUCUCUCUCUCUCUCUCUCUCUCUCUCUCUCAUCCUGUGGACCUUUAAGGUCAGAGGAGCUGUCACAGCAACCCCGAUGAAAAAGGUAUUUGUGUCUCUUGUGUGGUUAUUUUGCGCAGCCCAGUUAGCCCAGUUCAACUGGAGUAAACCCUGAGUCUUUUAGUCUCAAACAGAAACCCUGCAAGCUCUGAUCUCUUCUGAGGAUAUGCCUUCAGUGGCUUCCUGAUGCCCCAACAGUACUUCUUGAACUUCUUUUUGUGUCAGAAAUCACCUGGAUGCUAGUUGCUGAGAGGCCCUGGGUUUUAUUACCAGUAUCAUGGGGGCAGGGGGUGGAAAUUUUAAUCCUCAUGAUAAUACUGUGAAGGGGGAGUUAAUCCUCAAGAUAGUACUUUGAAAGAUAUGGCUGUGCCAUUGUAUGGAUUUAAUUAAUUGAGGUUACACAGCUAAUGAAUCUGACCCAUACUAUGUGAUUUUGACCCAUCCAUUUGUGUGUGUGUGUGUACGCUCACAUGUGCACUCCUGCAUUCUGGGAACUGAACCCAGGGCCUCUAACAUGCUAGGCAAGCGUUCUACCACUAAUCAACAUCCCCAAACCUUCUACUUGCUUUAGUAGAUUUUUAAAAUCACAUAUUUUAGCCUGGUGAGGUGGCCCAAUGCUGUAAUUCCAGUAACCUGAGAGGCUGAGGCAGGAGCCUACAAGUUGGAGGCCAGCCUGGGUAACUUAGAAGCCCUGUUUCAAAAUAAAAAGAGCUGGGGAUGUAGCUCAGUACUUGCCUAGCACAGGUCAGGCUCUGGAUUCAACAGCCCCUCUCCCCGAUACACCUCAUUAAUCCUUAAUUUUGGAGGUCACACAGCUAAGCAAUAUAUUAUUAGUCUACAGCUUUGCUAUAGAUGACACUGUUAUGCUCGAAUUCGGGACCCCCCAAAAGACCACCAGAGACCAAGAUCGAUGUAAACAGCAAAGAGGUGUUUAUUGUGAGCUAGCUUGGUCCUCUACUGGUGACGCUGAGAGGCCCCGAGCCCAGGGUUUGCAGCAGUUUUAUACAUUCUUUGGAGAAGGCAGGGACCCCCACAUACAUCAUAGUAUCUCUUGGCAAAUCAUCACACACCUCGGGAGAAUCAAACAACUCUAAAACAUGAUUAGCACAUUCACUGGCCGGAACAAGUUGGGUAGGGGUGAUUGGUUACUACAAGAAGGGGAUUCAUUUGAACUGAUUGGUUUAAGCCAAGAGGGGUGUACGUGCUGAACUACAUGGUUUCCCAACACGUUAUCAACCACCUUAAACUACUGGGAGGGUCAUCUGGCAUCCCAGGUAUUUCCCUGUCUCAUGCUGAUUGGUAGCCGCUAGGGGGUUGCUAUGGAUCCCCACCUAGCCUGACUGAGUCAGGGACACCUGGCGCAGCAGAUCUUUUCCUAUCAUUUGUAGAUAAACAACUUAGCAGGGUGGGAAUGUGCCUAGGAGUGCUCUGUGGGUCCUUCCAAGGACAAAGGUCAUGUCCCUUCCUUGGACAGGCUUUGCUCUGAGGUAGAGGCUGGUUUUUCAACACCUCUGACUGAAGCUACCUAAUAGUUUGUUAAAAUUCUUGUUUUUUAAAGAGAGAGAAUUUUAAUAUUUAUUUUUUAGUUUUCGGCGGACACAACAUCUUUGUUUUGUAUGUGGUGCUGAGGAUGGAACCCCAGGCCGAACGCAUGCCAGGCGAGCGCGCUACCGUUUGAGCCACAUCCCCAGCCCUGUUAAAAUUCUUCUGUGAAAAGUUGCAUUUCAGUAUUCAGACAAAAAAAAAAAAUACUAGACUACUCACAGAUAGCCAGAAAAAUGGGCCUGGAGAAGAAAAGAAGGAAGACAGAAAUGGGAAAUCAAAUUUCUGACUCCAACUAUUCCUAGCCACAAGGACAUCUCCUUAACAGCCCAUAGAAGAGACCAACCCUCAAAAGUACUUCCUCUUGCUCCAACAGACCUUCACUCCCACUCUUGUGCUGAUUAAGGCUUAGAAAUCACUUUUCUUCAGAUUUGCUGAAGAAGGCAAAAUAGAGUUGAUUGGCCUCUUUUCUAAGUCCUAUAUCUAUAGGGAAAGAUCAAGCCCAUAAAAACCCCUGGACGACAGACACUCCUUGGCAUCCCUCUCUUGAGACUCCUCCUUCUUCAGGAGCUCUGCUUUCUUUCUGUUAUGCUAACAAAUCCUGUCACUUUGCUCUCACCCUUGUGUCCCUCUUCAUUAUUUGUGAGACAAAGAACCCACCCAAUCCACCCUCCUGUUACACUCUAGUCCUUUAUUUUCUAUUAUCGUCCUAGACCCACUCCCCCGCCCCCAUCAUCUUCCUCUGUACUCUCAUGAAAUAUGUUUUUUGUUGUUGUUGUUUUUUG
rnacentral:lncRNA from 1 species